rnacentral:rRNA from 1 species
GUAGGGAAUCAUCCGCAAUGGGCGAAAGCCUGACGGUGCAACGCCGCGUGAGUGAUGAAGGUUUUCGGAUCGUAAAGCUCUGUUGACAGGGAAGAACCCACGCCAGUCGAACAGGCUGGCGUGCUGACGGUACCUGUCCAGAAAGCCCCGGCUAACUACGUGCCAGCAGCCGCGGUAAUACGUAGGGGGCAAGCGUUGUCCGGAAUUAUUGGGCGUAAAGGGCACGCAGGCGGUUUCGUCAGUCCGAUGUGACAGGCCACGGCUCAACCGUGGAAGGCCAUUGGAAACUGCGAAACUUGAGGACAGAAGAGGAGAGUGGAAUUCCACGUGUAGCGGUGAAAUGCGUAGAUAUGUGGAGGAACACCAGUGGCGAAGGCGACUCUCUGGUCUGUACCUGACGCUGAGGUGCGAAAGCAUGGGGAGCAAACAGGAUUAGAUACCCCAGUAGUCC